rnacentral:lncRNA from 1 species
UGAUAUCCUUACAUUUCACUUGGGAGCCAGCAAGCACCCGUGGGGGUCCUGCUAAUCUCCCUGCCCCCAAGUGUUAUGAGGGUCACAUGAGAGGGCAACCUGGACUGACCUGUACCCUCUCCGCCCCUUCAGGUUUCAAGAGUUUCUCUCUGACAUCAGUGGAGCUGCAAAUGCUGACCAAUUCGUGUGUAAAACUUCAGACAGUUCACCACAUUCCACUGACCAUCAACAAAGAGGAUGAUGAGUCUCCCGGGCUCUACGGCUUCCUGAAUGUCAUCGUCCACUCAGCCACGGGGUUUAAGCAGAGUUCAACUGGGCAUGUUGGAGCACACUUGUAAUCCCAACACUCAGGAAGACAGAAGGACCAUGAAUUCUCAGACACUCUGGGUUGCAUUGUGAUGUCCUGUCUCAAAAAAGAAGCAAAAAAGAGUCCUCAAGCUGUACAGUUGCAGUAGAUGCAUGGCUGGAGUACAGGUGAUUCCUUCCUCUAAAGCUGCAACAGGGCAAUUAGUCCAAGCUCUCCUCUCUUUGCCCCUGUGUAUGUUUCCCGGUUACAUUAGUUUCUUUUUAAUUUUCUGUUACAUUCAUUUGUUUGUGUGUCUUGGGUCCUUGGGCAUUAGCCAUUAAGCCAGUAUGUUGUCUUAGUUAUCUUUCUGUUUCAAUCAUAAAGCUCCAUGACAGGGGCAACUUAGAAAGAAAGCCUGUAUUUGGGCUUAACAGUUCCAGAGGGUAGAGUCUAUGACAGCAGAGUGGACACACUGCAAUAGAUGACUGGAGCAGCAGCUGAGAGGUUACUUCUCACAAGCAGGAAGCAGAGAACACACUGGGAAUUGUAUGAGUCUUUUGAAACCUCAAAGCCCACCCCGAAUGACACACCUCCUCCAACAAGACUGUACUUCCUAAUCCUUCCCCAACAGUUGUCCACUGGGAACUAAGUAUUCAAACAAAAGAACCUGCAGGGGCCAUUGUCAUUCCGACCACCUACCACACUGCAUGUUAGGUGGGCAGAGGACAGUUUGGAGGAUUUACAUGUGGAUCCCAGGGAUCCAAUUCUAUGUUUUCAGCCUGGGGACAAGCUCCUUUACCUAUUAAACCCCUAUAUUAGUUUCUUACUCCUGUGAGACAUGCUACAAAAUACAAUAAAAAUAGACCAGAAAACACAAAAUGCUACAAAAUGCAAUGACGACUUAAGGAAGGAAAGCUUUAUUGUGACAGUUAUGGGGCAUACAGUCUGAUGGCAGGCAAGUCAUGGUAACAGGAACACGAAGGAGCUGGCCAC